GAAUUGGUCAAGGAUCCUGAGAAGUCAUUAUCAUCAUUAUUGGUUGAUAUGAAUGAUUUAUUUCUGAAAUUGGAGGCAUCAAUUGGACAUUUUCAUGCAGUGCGCCAGCAAAGCUCUUCUGUUGAUGAAAGCUAUUCUUUUCCAUUGAUAUUUGAGAAACUUCCAGAAGUUAAUCAAGAAGGGUCUCAAUGGACUGAUUGUGAGACUAGAGAUGCUAUCAAUUUGAUCUACCAAAAUGUGGACAGAUUGAACGCCUAUCUAGCUGCCAUUGUUACAAUUCACCGGAAGCCCAGAAGAGUUACUCGAUACUGGAUACCCUAUACUUGUGGGAUUGUGGGCAUCUCUAUCUGUUCAUUAUGGUUGCUUCGGCAUAGCAGUUUAGUUGGAAGCUCUGACAUCGACAACUGGAUCCGUGAGGCAAAAGAGUCAACAGCUAGUUUCUGGAAUGACCAUGUAGAGCAACCGCUCAUCUCUAUAAGGGAUGAUCUUUUCUACACAUUCCGGAAGAGGCAGAAGGGUGCAAUGGAACCUGAAGAAGUGCAAUUAACUGCUGACUCUCUACACAGAAUGUUGCAAGCUUUCACUGAGCAGACGAAGGGUGAGAAGGCUCCACCAAAUGCAACAGACCAGGAAAUGCUUGAAAUAGUAAUGAUGAGGUAUGAGAAGGAACUGAUGCAUCCAAUUCAAAAUCUUUUUUCUGGAGAGCUUUCUCGUGCUCUUCUUAUCCAGGUUCAGAAGCUGAAGCUUGACAUUGAAGAGGCUAUGCUGGAGCUGGAUCAAAUUCUUAGGGCCAAUGAAAUCAAUUUUGCUAUUUUAGCUGCUCUGCCCGCUUUCUUCCUCUCUCUUAUUGUGAUCAUGUUGGUGCGUGCUUGGCUUAAACAGGAUAAGAAAGCAGAAGGCAGGGGAAGGGUUGCCCGAAUUCAACGACGACUGCUAAUUGUGGAAGUAGAGAGAAAGAUUAUGCAAUUAGAAAGCUGCAAAGAGCAAGGACAAGAAAAAGAUGCUCAAUGCAUGUUGGGGUUGGCAUUAUAUUAUCUGGAUCGCUUGUACUGUGCUGUCGAAGGACAUGCAAGGGCGACUGGUGAAUGGAUAAGUUUGAGGCAGGAUAUCAUUGACUUAGCGAAACCAGAUCUUCAAACUGCACAUAAACUCAGGAUUACAUCGCGGAUGGAACGGGUAUAUGACUGCUUGCUUCCGUUACCAAAAACACAGUAAUCUAUCUAUCUUUCAGUCUUCACAUUUACUAUUUCAGUCAAACAACUCCGCCUUUUGUAUAAAUUGGGGGACGAUGCUCCCCCUUUCACGCUCCACCCUUAUCUUUUGUUUUCCUGGGGUGAGAUUUGUCCUAGAGCAUUUUGCUGCUCGUUACAAUGUCCACGACAUUUUAAUUUGUACAACUACAAGAGAGAACUAAGCUACCAUUCCCCAGCAAGAGAAUCGCGGAAUACAUCUGUCUGUGACUUCUUUGUUUUUCUGCAAUGACUUGCCAUUUGACAGGCCUUUUUCCAAAAAUCUGAAUUUUUUUAGCUGUCACUGCAUUUAUCUGGCAAUAUAUUUGCAAAUCCGAUUGGAAACAACCUCUCUACUCCAUA
rnacentral:misc_RNA from 1 species